GGGCAGGACAACAAUUUGCGUGGCAAGUCCGCCCUUGGCUAGCUUUCACACUCCCAUAUAGACGGUGGUAAGUCCGUUACUAGAAUGGAGCAGCUGACCGGUGAGCAGGAGGAGCUGUGCCUGGAGCUCACCCUCCGCCCCAUGGUGCCGGAGCCCCGCGUCGGCUUCUUCCUCUGCGUGUACUGCGACCGCCAGUUCGUCACCUCGCAGGCGCUAGGCGGCCACCAGAACGCGCAUAAGCAUGAGCGCAGCGUGGCCAAGCGCCGCCGGCAGGCCGCUGCCGCUCGGGAGGGUGCGCCUGCUGAGGCGCCGGACGAGAGGCUGCCCUGGUACGGCGGCGGUAUCCUGUGUCCGGCCGGGACGGCUGGUGCUGCUGUCAAGGCGCACAAGCACGGCAUCAGCUGGUCGGAGCACGGCGGCACCGUGGUCGACGUCGACUUGUCUCUUCGUCUAUGAUAGGUCUGCUAACUGGUCCCUCAUCUCCAGAUGCACUAGUUGACGGGCGCGCAUCUGCUAGCUCUUUCGGUAUUAUACUUUUGUAACAAUGCGGAUGCCCAGUCGAUCGAUGGCUAGGGACUAUAUAGCUUCCGGCUUAUAACUGCAAGGCUGCAACAGCCACUUGGAGAAAUUGUGGUGUCCUCGGAAAUUACAUCGUGACAACAUUACUAUGUACUACCUCCGUUUCAAAAUAGUUGAAGUUCUAUGUUUAUCCUCAGUCAAACUUGUUUAAGUUCGACCAAGUCUGUGGAAAAUUAUAGUAUUAACAUCUACAACACCAAAUUAGUCUCCAUAGAUUCUUUACGAAAUAUAUUUUCAUACUAUGUAUAUUUGGUGUUGUAGAUCUUAGCACAUUUGUUUCCAUAGUUGGUCAAACUUAAGCAAAUUUGACUUCGGACAAACCUCAAACUUUAAUUAUUUUAGAACGGAGGGUGUAUCUUCUAAAGUUGUAAUUAAGAUACAGAGACAGAAUGUAAGACAUGCACAUAUUGAUGACUAGUAGAUAUAUGGAAAUAUACUCCAAGAUGCACAUAUUGGGCGUGUGUCAUUGCCGAAUGUAAUGCACACAGAUUAAUGGUGUUCUUGAGCCAUAGUAAAUAUAUAUAACCAGUUCCCUGAUAA